UUAUUUUCAUUGUGAGAUACUCAUGUAAUAUAAUGGUAACGUUUUUACGAUAAGAUAAGAUUUUCGUCACGUUAGAUGAUUUUGUAAAUUCCUGCGUAAUAUACAUAAUCAGUUUCUUUUGUUUCGAUCACCAUUACUGUAACAUGUUCAAAUUUCUGUUUACGUUUGGACUUGGCAUUUACGCUGGCAUAUAUUUGAGCCAGAACUAUGAGAUACCUCGAGUGGAUGAACCUGGUAAAAUAAUAGAACGUAUAAAAGAUUUUGCUGAUGAUCACAAGAAAAAGAAAGAUUGAUUGACUCUUAAUCAUACAAAUGAUGACAAUAUUGAUCAUACUGUUUUAGAUCUAUAUCCUAUAUAAAUUAUAUAAAAUUAGUUUUUGAAAAGAAUUAAAGUUAUGUUAUUAAAGACUAGCAUGAUUGUAAAAAAAGUGAAUAGAUUAUGUAUUUAAAUUUUGAUUUUUUUUGAUAAAUGAAUGUUAUUUCUUAUUUUAUAUAAUAUUGUACAU